rnacentral:rRNA from 1 species
AGUGAACGCUGGCGGUAGGCCUAACACAUGCAAGUCGAACGGCAGCACAGGAGAGCUUGCCCUCCGGGUGGCGAGUGGCGGACGGGCGAGGAAUACAUCGGAAUCUGCCCAGUCGAGGGGGUUAACGUAGGGAAACUUACGCUAAUACCGCAUUCUAUUUCCGGGUGAAAGAGGGGGAUCGCAAGAUCUCUUGCGUUUGGUUGAGCCGUUCCUGGAUUAGCUACUUUGCGGGGUAUUGGCCCACCAAGGCGACGAUCCGUAGCUGGUCUCGGUGGAUGAUCAGGCACACUGGAACUGAGACACGGUCCAGACUCCUACGGGAGGCAGCAGUGGGGAAUAUUGGACAAUGGGCGCAAGCCUGAUCCAGCCAUACCGCGUGAGUGAAGAAGGCCUUCUGGUUGUAGAGCCCUUUUGUUGGGAGAGAAAUCUUUCAGGCUAAUACCCUGAGAGGAUGACGGUACCCAAAGAAUAAGCACCGGCUAACUUCGUG